AUUAUUAUGGUGAUUAUUAGAACGCAGGGCCCGUGCCCACUAGUCCAGGCUGGCGAACGCGCCUUGCGGGAAAGGCGGGAGUAAGGUCGCUGCGUGUCCUCUCUGGUCACACCUCGGCGCGCCCUGGUCGCGCCCCUAUGGUUCCCCCGCCGAGGCCUCGAGGCGUCUGAGUGGGGAGCGAAAGGAAUGUGUGUAUCUGUGGUGCAGGGGAGUGUGUGUGUGUGGGGGGGGGGAGGGGGUGGUUGUGGGGGAGUGCGUGUUUUGGGGGGAUGGACCUUCUCGUUUUACAGCCUUGAAGGUUAUGUCCAGAGUCAUAGCCUGGGUCCCACACCCCCGCGUCACCUGUGCCUGUCCUAGGGGGCAGUCAGUGUGCGUGAGGCUCCACCCUGCCUGGGCUUUGGCUCACCUAAGGCGAGGAGGGUGGUGAACUGGGGUGCCCCACUGGGCCGGGUCUGGGAGCCCUCAGCGCCAGGGUGCAGAGGCCGCAGCCACUCCCCUUCUAGGGUCUGGGCGGUGGGGGCAUGAGAAGGCGGAGACCCAGGCCACUUCACCCAGUAACUGUCCUCAGCUGUGCGCUUAACUGGCGAGAUCUCCGCUCUACUUGGAGACAGUCUGGGGUGUCUGGAGAAUCCUCCCCCACUUCUGCUUACCCCAGGUCGCUGUGGGAGCAGGUGUCUCAGGAAAUGGGGCCUGGGUCCCACCCAAGGCCUCGGGUCUGAGUUAGAUGUCUGUAUGUUUGUUGUUGCCCCUGCAACAAAGUACCACAGAUUGAGUAGUUUAAGCCACAUGCAUGUUAUCUCACAGUUCGGGGGGUCGGGAAUCUAAACUGGGUUGGCAGGGCCUGUGCCUUCUGGAGGCAAGGGAGCUGUUUCCCAGCGUUUCCAGCUCCUAGAGGCUGCUAGCUAGUGGCCCUUUCCUUUGUCUUCAAAGCCGGCAGCACAGCCUUUUCUAACCUCUCCCACUCCAGGUCAUUUCACAUCAACUCUUUCUGCCUCCCUCUUGUAAGUGUGAUACCCUACCUUGUUUUAACCUGAAUUGACUGUCCCUUAGCUGAGAGAGCCAGACACACUCCAUUUUGGCUCCUUCACUUGCAGCCCCUUACCCACCCCCCUUCCUCAAGGACUUAACUUGUGCAAGCUGACUCCCAGCACAUCAAAGAAUGCAAUUAAUGGAUAAGAUACUGUGGCAAGCUAUAUCCGCAGUUCCCAGGAAUUUGCCCAGUUGAUAGUACCCUAAGCCCCCACAUUUGUGUCCGGUUGAUGGUACCCAAAGCCCCCGCAUCUAUCGCCUUGUGAUGGAUUUAAAACCCCUGCACCUGGAACUGUUUGUUUUCCUGUAACCAUUUGUCUUUUAACUUUUUGCCUGUUUUGCUUCUGUAAGAGUGCUUCAGCUAGGCUCCUCCUCCCCUUUCUAAACCAAAGUAUAAAAGAAAAUCUAGCCCUUUCUUCAGGGCCGAGAGAAUUUUGAGCACUAGCCGUCUCUCGGUUGCCGGCUAAUAAAG
rnacentral:lncRNA from 10 species